UACGGAGGAUGCAAGCGUUAUCCGGAAUGAUUGGGCGUAAAGGGUCCGCAGGUGGCAAUGUAAGUCUGCUGUCAAAGAAUGAGGCUUAACCUCAUCAAGGCAGUGGAAACUACAUAGCUAGAGUACGGUAGGGGUAGAAGGAAUUCCUGGUGUAGCGGUGAAAUGCGUAGAGAUCAGGAAGAACACCGGUGGCGAAAGCGUUCUGCUAGACCUGUACUGACACUGAGGGACGAAAGCUAGGGGAGCGAAUGGG
rnacentral:rRNA from 1 species